rnacentral:snoRNA from 1 species
UGCAAUCAGUGAUGAAAUGUGUUUGAUAAUUAAUGAAUCACUGUGAUUAGCAUAUUAAAUAAUCACCAUCUUUCGGCUGAGAUUGCA